GGGAGUGAUGAUUUCACAGACUAGAGUCUCUGACGCUGGUUCUGAUGUCAACUAUAAAUCUGACUC
ensembl:snoRNA Snord52 small nucleolar RNA SNORD52